rnacentral:rRNA from 1 species
ACGUAGGGUGCAAGCAUUGUCCGGAUUUAUUGGGCGUAAAGAGCUCGUAGGCGGCUUGUCACGUCGGGUGUGAAAACUCGGGGCUCAACCCCGAGCCUGCACUCGAUACGGGCUAGCUAGAGUGUUGCAGGGGAGACUGGAAUUCCUGGUGUAGCGGUGAAAUGCGCAGAUAUCAGGAGGAACACCGGUGGCGAAGGCGGGUCUCUGGGCAACUACUGACGCUGAGGAGCGAAAGCGUGGGGAGCGAACAGGAUUAGAUACCCUGGUAGUCCACGCCGUAAACGUUGGGCGCUAGGUGUGGGGAACCUUCCACGUUCUCCGUGCCGUAGCUAACGCAUUAAGCGCCCCGCCUGGGGAGUACGGCCGCAAGGCUA